AUUGAACGCUGGCGGCAUGCCUUACACAUGCAAGUCGAACGGCAGCGGGGGAGAAGCUUGCUUUUCCUGCCGGCGAGUGGCGAACGGGUGAGUAAUACAUCGGAACGUGCCCUGUAGUGGGGGAUAACUAGUCGAAAGAUUAGCUAAUACCGCAUACGACCUGAGGGUGAAAGGGGGGGAGCGCAAGGCCUCAUGCUAUAGGAGCGGCCGAUGUCUGAUUAGCGAGUGGGGGGGGUAAAGGCCUACCAAGGCGACGAUCAGUAGCUGGUCUGAGAGGACGAUCAGCCACACGGGGACUGAGAGCCGGCCCGGACUCCUACGUGAGGCAGCAGUGGGGAAUUUUGGACAAGGGGCGACAGCCUGAUCCAGCAAUGCCGCGUGUGUGAAGAAUGCCUUCGGGUUGUAAAGCACUUUUGUCCGGAAAGAAAUGGCUCUGGUUAAUACCUGGGGUCGAUGACGGUACCGGAAGAAUAAGGACCGGCUAACUACGUGCCAGCCGCCGCCGUAA
rnacentral:rRNA from 1 species